UGAGGAAUCUUCCACAAUGGGCGAAAGCCUGAUGGAGCAACGCCGCGUGCAGGAUGAAGGCCCUCGGGUCGUAAACUGCUUUUAUAAGUGAAGAAUAUGACGGUAACUUAUGAAUAAGCACCGGCUAACUACGUGCCAGCAGCCGCGGUCAUACGUAGGGUGCAAGCAUUAUCCGGAGUGACUGGGCGUAAAGAGUUGCGUAGGUGGACAAGUAAGCGAAUAGUGAAAUCCGACGGCUCAACCGUACGGACUAUUACUCGAACUGCUUGUCUCGAGAAUGGUAGAGGUAACUGGAAUUUCUAGUGUAGGAGUGAAAUCCGUAGAUAUUAGAAGGAACACCAAUGGCGUAGGCAGGUUACUGGACCAUUUCUGACACUGAGGCACGAAAGCGUGGGGAGCGAACC
rnacentral:rRNA from 1 species